rnacentral:lncRNA from 1 species
CAGACGGCUUGCUUCCUGUCUGGAUUUCCUGUCAAGUGAGACAUGGUGGAACCCAGAGAAGCUGGACACCAACACGUGCUGCUACCGCCGACUGCUGUGUCGUGUGUUUGAUGUCAUCGUCGCUGGGGCACGCCAGGGGCCCAUUGCAGCCAGCUUCAGGGCCCUGAUGACGCUACUUUUCUAGGUACUGAAACUUGAUAUGUUACACAAUGGAUUUCAGUGCAAAGACGGAUGCUUCACUCAACUCAUUGGCGCAUAGCAUCACUCGAAGGAUAGUCCAUCGUUCCUCUAGUCCCAGGUCCACCUGAGUGAUCCCCUUGAGCUCUUCAAGUUCCUGUGCCUGGUGUGAGUCUACGGCAGUAACCUAGGAGACCAGCUGGACUGUAAGAUCAAUGCCAUCCUGCAGACCCAGGCCCUCUGUGGGCAGAGCCCUCCUCAGCGCCCAGCCAGGGAAGACCCUCACACUGGUGGCAUCGGGCUCAUCACCAGUGGUGCUCUCCCUGCUGGCCUGUCUGAGCUCCUCUGUCUGUGAGGUGAGGAGGGCAGCCACAGCCACCCUACAGACCCUGGCCCAGGCCAUGAGGAAGUUCUGUGAGGAGGCUGUAACAGGGACAGGCAAGACCCGGGACAAGACCUGCUAG